GGCUAGAAGCCUUAAGAUUUAGCUUUAUUGUGGGAGCUAAAUUAAUGUCUGAUUGUACUGCCCAUGAUACUGCGUUGGUUAUCCCUUUGAUUGCACAUGGUAUUUUAGCGAAUAGUGAGAGGUCUACGAUAAACAAGUACGAAAUUCUUAUAAGAUUGAAGUAGGGCUUUUGUAAAGGUCUGCUUCAUUAUUCUUAUUAAGCCAAAUAAGUAAGUCGGAAAUCAUAAGUCUUAGAUGACUUGUAACGGCAGGUAUAGUUUGAUAAGACUUAUGGUCUUAUCUUAAACGAAUAUACGCGUAUGGUUACUAUAAUCUCAACGGAGCUCUUACGAAGUUAGGCGAAGAAGGGGGUUUCUAGGUGCUUUAAAUAUGUUUGUAUAGUUUCUUUAAGUGUUUUUUAGUUUCUCGAUAAUGGGCGCGGUAGGAGAACUCUACACCAGUGCGGAGCAUUGACAAAAUAUGGAGAUAUAGAGUAAGUAAUCGGGAAUGAGGGUGGAAUAAAAAAAGUGCCAGCAUUCGCGGUCAGUCUGUUUCACCCCAGCCAAUGACUGUCGUAUGUUAGUAAUGAGUAAGAAAAAAACAGUUAUCUACGAAAUAGGCACGGUAAAAUGUAACUAUAGUAUAAAAUGAUAUAUGGAGUAGUGAAAAUAAGAUAGUUUUAACAAUAUAACCUAAUAAGGCUGCAUAGCUGAGACAGGGAUCUGUACCCCAGUAUUAAAGCUUUCCAGUGGUGUGCGGGUACUACGAGCAAACGUGCUUAAAAACCAAAGAGGUUGGCGGUGUUCCAAAUCCGGUUAGGGGAACUUGGCGAUUAAUUUGAUGAUCCUCGAACAUUUUACCUUUAGUAUACUUUGCAUACCGCCGUUGAGACAGGCUUUUGGGGGUUGAAGAACUUAACAUAAUAUAUACAGGCGUGAACACGACUCUAAAAAUGUUUAAGCCCCAUCGCUUAUAACAUUUCGUUUCAGGUUAGUCUUCUAUAGCAAUUCAGGUAAACGUGUAGGUUCUAAAGGGUUUAGCUGAGUUACAUUUUUUGUAAAUCUGCGGAGAUGCAUGCUUAUAUGUGCGUUGAAGGUGUACUUGUUAGUAAAACUUUUGAUAGAAGAAAUUUGAAUAGAGUUAUGGAAUGCGUACAAAUCGCCCGGCGCCCUCGAAUAAUUAAAUUGAGGUAAGUCGUAACAUAGUAAUGCUAGUAGAAACUGGUGUUAAAUAUAAAA
rnacentral:rRNA from 1 species